rnacentral:rRNA from 1 species
UUAAGCGACCAAGCGUACACGGUGGAUGCCCUGGCAGUCAGAGGCGAUGAAGGACGUGCUAAUCUGCGAUAAGCGCCGGUAAGGUGAUAUGAACCGUUAUAACCGGCGAUUUCCGAAUGGGGAAACCCAGUGUGAUUCGUCACACUAUCAUUAACUGAAUCCAUAGGUUAAUGAAGCGAACCGGGGGAACUGAAACAUCUAAGUACCCCGAGGAAAAGAAAUCAACCGAGAUUCCCCCAGUAGCGGCGAGCGAACGGGGAGGAGCCCAGAGCCUGAAUCAGCAUGUGUGUUAGUGGAAGCGUCUGGAAAGGCGCGCGAUACAGGGUGACAGCCCCGUACACAAAAGCGCAUGUGCUGUGAGCUCGAUGAGUAGGGCGGGACACGUGGUAUCCUGUCUGAAUAUGGGGGGACCAUCCUCCAAGGCUAAAUACUCCUGACUGACCGAUAGUGAACCAGUACCGUGAGGGAAAGGCGAAAAGAACCCCGGCGAGGGGAGUGAAAGAGAACCUGAAACCGUGUACGUACAAGCAGUGGGAGCCCCACCACCAAAGCGUUUCGCUUUGUGUGGUGCACAAAGAAGCGUAACGACAGCACUGACUGACGGUUAACGGAGCGUAAGCGACGUUCAACACAAAAAUCAGGCAGUGGAGCGCUUUGGGGUGGGGUGACUGCGUACCUUUUGUAUAAUGGGUCAGCGACUUAUAUUCUGUAGCAAGGUUAACCGCAUAGGGGAGCCGAAGGGAAACCGAGUCUUAAUUGGGCGUUAAGUUGCAGGGUAUAGACCCGAAACCCGGUGAUCUAGCCAUGGGCAGGUUGAAGGUUGGGUAACACUAACUGGAGGACCGAACCGACUAAUGUUGAAAAAUUAGCGGAUGACCUGUGGCUGGGGGUGAAAGGCCAAUCAAACCGGGAGAUAGCUGGUUCUCCCCGAAAGCUAUUUAGGUAGCGCCUCGUGAACUCAUCUCCGGGGGUAGAGCACUGUUUCGGCUAGGGGGCCAUCCCGGCUUACCAACCCGAUGCAAACUGCGAAUACCGGAGAAUGUUAUCACGGGAGACACACGGCGGGUGCUAACGUCCGUCGUGAAGAGGGAAACAACCCAGACCGCCAGCUAAGGUCCCAAAGUCAUGGUUAAGUGGGAAACGAUGUGGGAAGGCCCAGACAGCCAGGAUGUUGGCUUAGAAGCAGCCAUCAUUUAAAGAAAGCGUAAUAGCUCACUGGUCGAGUCGGCCUGCGCGGAAGAUGUAACGGGGCUAAACCAUGCACCGAAGCUGCGGCAGCGACGCUUAUGCGUUGUUGGGUAGGGGAGCGUUCUGUAAGCCUGCGAAGGUGGCCUGUGAGGGUUGCUGGAGGUAUCAGAAGUGCGAAUGCUGACAUAAGUAACGAUAAAGCGGGUGAAAAGCCCGCUCGCCGGAAGACCAAGGGUUCCUGUCCAACGUUAAUCGGGGCAGGGUGAGUCGACCCCUAAGGCGAGGCCGAAAGGCGUAGUCGAUGGGAAACGGGUUAAUAUUCCCGUACUUGGUGUUACUGCGAAGGGGGGACGGAGAAGGCUAUGUUGGCCGGGCGACGGUUGUCCCGGUUUAAGCGUGUAGGCUGACUUUCCAGGCAAAUCCGGAGAGUCAAGGCUGAGGCGUGACGACGAGGCACCACGGUGCUGAAGCAACAAAUGCCCUGCUUCCAGGAAAAGCCUCUAAGCAUCAGGUAACAUCAAAUCGUACCCCAAACCGACACAGGUGGUCAGGUAGAGAAUACCAAGGCGCUUGAGAGAACUCGGGUGAAGGAACUAGGCAAAAUGGUGCCGUAACUUCGGGAGAAGGCACGCUGACAUGUAGGUGAAGUGGUUUACCCAUGGAGCUGAAGUCAGUCGAAGAUACCAGCUGGCUGCAACUGUUUAUUAAAAACACAGCACUGUGCAAACACGAAAGUGGACGUAUACGGUGUGACGCCUGCCCGGUGCCGGAAGGUUAAUUGAUGGGGUCAGCGCAAGCGAAGCUCCUGAUCGAAGCCCCGGUAAACGGCGGCCGUAACUAUAACGGUCCUAAGGUAGCGAAAUUCCUUGUCGGGUAAGUUCCGACCUGCACGAAUGGCGUAAUGAUGGCCAGGCUGUCUCCACCCGAGACUCAGUGAAAUUGAACUCGCUGUGAAGAUGCAGUGUACCCGCGGCAAGACGGAAAGACCCCGUGAACCUUUACUAUAGCUUGACACUGAACAUUGAGCCUUGAUGUGUAGGAUAGGUGGGAGGCUUUGAAGCGUGGACGCCAGUCUGCGUGGAGCCAACCUUGAAAUACCACCCUUUAAUGUUUGAUGUUCUAACGUGGACCCGUAAUCCGGGUUGCGGACAGUGUCUGGUGGGUAGUUUGACUGGGGCGGUCUCCUCCUAAAGAGUAACGGAGGAGCACGAAGGUUGGCUAAUCCUGGUCGGACAUCAGGAGGUUAGUGCAAUGGCAUAAGCCAGCUUGACUGCGAGCGUGACGGCGCGAGCAGGUGCGAAAGCAGGUCAUAGUGAUCCGGUGGUUCUGAAUGGAAGGGCCAUCGCUCAACGGAUAAAAGGUACUCCGGGGAUAACAGGCUGAUACCGCCCAAGAGUUCAUAUCGACGGCGGUGUUUGGCACCUCGAUGUCGGCUCAUCACAUCCUGGGGCUGAAGUAGGUCCCAAGGGUAUGGCUGUUCGCCAUUUAAAGUGGUACGCGAGCUGGGUUUAGAACGUCGUGAGACAGUUCGGUCCCUAUCUGCCGUGGGCGCUGGAGAACUGAGGGGGGCUGCUCCUAGUACGAGAGGACCGGAGUGGACGCAUCACUGGUGUUCGGGUUGUCAUGCCAAUGGCACUGCCCGGUAGCUAAAUGCGGAAGAGAUAAGUGCUGAAAGCAUCUAAGCACGAAACUUGCCCCGAGAUGAGUUCUCCCUGAGACUAUAAGUCUCCUGAAGGAACGUUGAAGACGACGACGUUGAUAGGCCGGGUGUGUAAGCGCAGCGAUGCGUUGAGCUAACCGGUACUAAUGAACCGUGAGGCUUAACCUU